AAGAAAGACGUGUUCAUGCUGUCUAUCGUCAGAUAGCACCGCUGACGUCAACAGAACCCACAAGGAGUCAGCCCAUGUACCCGGCGGAUCCCAGAGGGACGGGCAGAGAGUCAUCAGACAUUCAGAGGACAGUUUCUACAGGAGAUGGCUUCAUAUAACGGUGAAAAAGAGCCGCUGACAGGUUCCAGGAAUGCACCGUGUUACCGUCUCUUAUGUGAUCAGCCUUGCUUGUGGAAAGCAACCAAAAAAAAAUGUAGACCAUCAAUUCCAGAGCCAGCGCUACAACACCACAAAGAAAAGAACACAUUAGUGUGCCUCACAAGGGCAAUGAUACCUUCAGGGCUGCUAUUUGUGGCUAUGAAUCUGGAUCUGAGAAGACGGUUUAAAAGGAACGAAG